ensembl:lncRNA novel transcript
AAUACUUUGAAAUAUUGAGUGACUUUUUUCCUAUCUCAGGACAUCUCCAAGAAUAGACUUGUCCCACUAAUUAGAGUUGGAUUCCUGACAUGAAAUCUGUUACCUUUGCUUCCUUCUAUUCAGGGUUGUCUACUGCCUCUGACUUGUCAUCUAUAGUCACACAGAGAAAGACAACUCUGCUUAAUAAUUUGAGAUCUCUCUGUCUCAGUCUUUUUCCCCACUUAGGUAAAAUUUACAUACAGAAAUGCACACAUCCUAAGUAUACAAUUUAAUGAAUUUUGAUCAAUGUACACACCUAAAUAUUCAUCACUCCAAUCAUGAUAUAAACUUUUUUUUUUCUCAGAUGGAGUCUUUCUUUGUCUCCCAGUCUGGGGUGCAGUGGCACGAUCUAGUGGCACGAUCACUGCAACCUCUGCCUCCUGGGUUCAAGUGAUUCUCCUACCUCAGCCUUCCAAGUAGCUGGGACUACAAGCAUGUACCACCAUGCCCAGCUAAUUUUUGUAUUUUUAGUAGAGAUAGGGUUUCACCAUGUUGGCCAGGCUGGUCUUGAACUCUUGACCUCAGAUCACCUCAAGUGAUCUGCCCACCUCAGCCUCCCUCCCAAAGGGCUGGGAUUACAGGUGUGAGCCACUGCACCCAGCCAUGAUAAAAACAUUCUAUCUAUCAACCGAGAAAGUUCUCUGUGCCCCUUCCAGUCACUUUCCACCUCUCACAGGCAAUCACUGUUCUAAACCUGUUCUCUGAAUUUUGCCUCUGGUUUUUCUGGCUCAACAUACAGUUUUUGGGAUUUAGCCAUCUUGUUCUUUGGAUCAAUGGUUCAUUCCUUUUUAUUGCUAAAUACUUAUCCAGUGUAUAACAUACCACAAUUUGCAUAUCCAUUCCAUUGUUGAUGGAUACCUUUCCAGCUUAGAAGUAGUAUGAAUAAUGCUCUGUAAACAUUCUUAUAUAAAUCUGUGUGUGAACAUAAGUUUUUAUUUCUUUUAGGUAAAUAUCUAGAAGAUAACCUGCUGGAUCAUGAGGAGAUAGAGAUUGCAUCUGACUGGGACUAAGCAACCCUCGGAAGCACCAAACCUCACCUCCCUUCUCAACACCUGACUCCGGCCUAGGGCCUUCCCACUGAGGUAGAAAUUCUUAUGGACUGGAAUCUUCCUCAAGGCUUACUUUGUUCCUGGGAUGCAGUGGUGCAUAGAAGAUAGGGCAUUGACUCACUCAGACCUGGCUUGCCCAGCAUGCAUUGCAACAAUGAUGUGCAAGUUAUUAAAGACAUGAGUGAAUUCGUGACAGAUUGUCAGAAAAGAAACAAGAGUUUUCUACAACAAAAAACUGGCUUAUGGAACAUAUACUUCUGCUUGAGUUGAAUGUGUUGGGCUGAGUGUAAGAAAAUGCAAGCUGCAAAUCUGUCUUACAUGUGGAACCAAAGCUGGAAAUGUGUGCUUUAGAGGCAACUGUAAAAUUGUAUUUCCUUCUGGCAUAUGGGCCAAUGAUUAUGUUGUGUGAGUAAUGCAUAGAUGUAAUCCAUGUGGUAAGCUUUGUGGAUGAAGAAAAUGUCAGUGUUAUUGGCUGAGGCUUGGCAAGCAUUAGCCAUGUGUUUAGAAAAAUUUACAUGGCCUGAAACAAUGCAAAAAAUGUACUGUCCUGUUUGUCAGCUUGUGAACAUAGCAAAAAACCACAGCACUCCCAUCAGCACAAACACUGAGGGAGAAAAUCUCUCUUGCUGUUUUCCAGUUUAUGUUUAUAGGAAAAGGAUGUUUGCCUUACAACAAGGGGAUUUAUGCUUAAUGGAUACUAACUUUUACCAAAUCACAAAAUCUAAAUAGGCAUUUGUAGAAUGAGAGAUCCAAAAACUCUGGCAAUAUGAUAUACUAAGGGGAAAAUCAGAAAUCUUUAUAGAUUUUACUAUUACUGUGUUCAGAUCAAUUUUUAAUUGCUUUUAGCUAUGGCUUCUUGAGCUUCAAAAUAAUUGUGGAAUGUCUUCACUAAGUACACAGUAGCAUAAAUUCUACAGGAUGUUGUACAGCUCUGUAGAGGGAAAAACCACCAUGAAGAUAAAUGACCUUGGAGGACCCCAUUAAUCUUUGUAAAUAGCAAGAUGUUAUUUAGCCAUCUAUUUUUUUCUUAAACCCAAAAGCAUUUAAAAAACAGAAUAUUUAAGUUAUAAAAGGCCUUAAAAGUGACCCAGAGCUGGCAGAGGAAGGGAGCCUUAACAAUUGGUGGGGGAAACUGGGAGUGAGGGUGGAUAGUACUCAAAAGGAUGCUGUCUUUGACUUUAAUUUCAAGGUAUUACACAAAUUGCCCUCAGAUGUUUCAAUCUCUUCUUUCACAGGGCUUCCUCUAAUGUUUUUUCAUCAGUCUUAUCUGCCAUAUCAAUAUAAUGGCUUUUAAAUUUUUGCAAAGGGAACUUCUGCAUCUACCUGUGAAGGAUAAACUGAUACAAGAAUCACUUGCCUACCAUAAACAACUAGAAAAUAAGGCAAAAUAUAUGAAAGGACAAUUUUCAGAUAUUAGAUAUAAGGCGAUGCAGAACUGAAUUCCUGAAUCUCUAUCAUUAUCCUAGAGUACUGCCUUGAGGAAAAUUCCAAGAAAUAGCCAAAAGAAAAUGAAGUCAGAGUCUUGUUCAGUUGAGGAAACAAAGAUCAGUAUGAGUAGGCCAAAGUAGCUAUAACUUAAGGGCAGAGUUCAAUAGAGAGAGAGCUAAGCAGCAGAAGGGGUCUAGAAAUCUGCAUGAGAGUCCCCUUGAAUUUUUUGUGACUAUCAAUUUCUGUAUGUGUAAUGUGAAACUCUUUGUUGGGCAAGAAAAUCUUCUGAGAAAAGACUAAUUACUGAGAAACUGUAAAAUGAACAAUUCCCAGAAAUCACACAGGAUCAAAAACCUUUGUGGAUGGAGUUUCCUUCAUUCAAAGUGAAAAAAUCUUGUUGAAUACUUAGCCAUUCAGUAGAGACUUGAAAAGUGUUAUGCCUUAGAAGUGGGACUAAAUUAGCUCUAGAAUUUACCAUUCUAAAACCUCCCUAAAAGAGUUUAGAAACAGGCCUCACAAGAGAUCAAAAGUAACCUUCAAAAGCUAACUGCUCACGAAAAAGUCUUAACACUCAUUAAAAGAGUACAACAAAAUCCAGCACUAAACAAUGUAAAACACACAAUCUUAAUCCAAUUUUUAAAAAUCAUCAGACAUGCAGAAAGUAGGAAAAUGUGACCCAUAACC